rnacentral:rRNA from 1 species
UACAGAGACUGCAAGCGUUAUUCGGAGUUACUGGGCGUAAAGGGCGCGUAGGCGGCGCAUCAAGUCAGGCGUGAAAGCCCUGGGCUCAACCCGGGAAUUGCGCUUGAGACUGGUGUGCUCGAGUACGGGAGAGGAUAGUGGAAUUCCCAGUGUAGAGGUGAAAUUCGUAGAUAUUGGGAAGAACACCAGUGGCGAAGGCGGCUAUCUGGACCGUAACUGACGCUGAGGCGCGAAAGCGUGGGGAGCAAACAGG